rnacentral:lncRNA from 1 species
UGUAAUUGGUUAAUUUUUUUUCCAGUCUCUGAAUCCUGAAGAUAUUUCAACUGAAACAGAAGAGAGCUCUGUUUGAAAACCUUAGAAAUGUGAGAUUUUUACUGGUGUUGAUAUCUGAUAUGGGUAAUAAUGAUGUUUCUGUAGAACAAACCUGGUACAAAGCCCACAGAUUUCUGUGCAAAAGAAAAUACAAAACAAGUUGGACUUUUCACCUUAGUAUUCAAGAAAUUUAUCUACAUAAAUUUUUCUAGGCUCCAUGGAGAAAGCAAUUCCGUAUAUAAACAUGAGAUUAUUACAAGAGAGGGUUUGUUAUCUAGGUCCUCAAAAUAGCUCUCAAUUUUCCCUUACACAGAUUUUGUAAAAGAGCAUUGAAAAGUUUAUUUCCAGAGUGCAGUCUAUAAACACUUAAAGUAUGAUGUAUAAUUCACAGGAAAACUAAUUUAUGUUUGUAAGAGUAAAAAGCACAUUUCAUAUUCUUUAGUUCUUCUACCUGAACUAGCUUCUACUUAACAAGUAUGAAUCAAAAUGCCACCAAUUCAGAGAUCCUUCAUUGUUCCUUGACUUCUCCUCUUCUCAUUAAAGUUCCUUUCUGCCCUGAAAGUUUCUGCUGUCUUUCUUCCCCUCUCAUUCCCGCUUCAUCUGCUUGUCAUUGUUUGGGUCAUCUGUUCACUUGCUUUUCAAAGCAAACUGCCUUUACCCAAUAGGAAGUUCCCAGGAAUCUGUUCUGAACUCAGUUAUCCUCUUUUCCAUUAUGGAACAUGACUUCAGAAAACUUGGUUCAACAAUAUUAAUCAUGCCAUUUAGUACAUGUAACUCUCUUUUAAAUGUGAUGUUGUUUUUGUUUGUUUUCUGCCCUCUCAAGGUGUUUCACAACUGUUAUCUACUACUGUCAGUUAGAAUCCCUUUUGUCUGGCCAAGAGAAGAAGGGAAGGAAGGUACUUGGCUUAUAGUCUGUCUCUUGUCAGCUAAGCUCACUCAUGAUCCUGUCAGUUUUCAAUGAAUUUCUCACUGGGAAGUAAAUACAAUGAAUAGAGAUAAACAGCUAUGAACAAUUUUAAAAGUGAUAAUGUUUCAUGAGCUCAAAAUAUACCUAGAAUUAUAAUUCAUAAUUAUAAAUUUUUAAAUAUCUGUUUAAUUCAAAUGAAGAAAAAUGGGAAACAAAUAAUAAAUAAUAUGGCAUCAGAAUAUAAGCCAAAUAUAUCACAAUGGAUUGCUAGCCCUAUGCUGCUAACAAGAGACAGAAAUAAAUGUGGCAAGUAUAUGUAAGACUUCUGGAAAAAAUAACCCAUAAUAUUGAACUGAGUGUAAACAAAGAAGAUACAAAUAAAUGAAGAGAUAUUCUAUGUUUCUUUAUUUAAAAGGAUCAGUGUUGAAAGAUGUCAGUUCUCUAGUUUUUGAUGAAAAUAAUGGGAUUGGAAUUGACACCAACAGUUGUGUGACUGCACAUGAGAUAAGGGAGUAUUGGGAAAGCACUGGAGUCUGACUCCAGAAAUAUUUUUUGUUUGCUUUUUAGAAUAAUAAAAGAGAAAAAGAAAUAGACUGUACAGUGCCAGGCAUGUGACUACUUGGAGAGGGAAGGGAAAUUCCUCUCUAGAUGUUCAAAAAAAAGGGAAUUCUAUUGAAUUCAAGAAAAACAGACUCUACUAUUAGGCAAAUAAGUAGUCCAAGCAGAGAAUUAAUAUUGCAUGGUGAUAAGGUGUGAAAGAAGUGACUACUAGCACUCUGCAUUUUCCUACACUUUCUAUGCAAGAGAUCAGAAAUCUCUCUUUUUUUACUGGACGCCAGAUGCCUGGACCAAAAUUUAGCCAGGGCUCAGGAGUAAGACUGUAGAAUUAACCUGUGAGGAGCUCUGGGGUACAGCAGGCAUGACAACAGGUCCUUGAAAAUUGGCAAUCUAAGGUUUAGAACAAGGUCUGAGAGCAGCAGGAUUUGGAUGUGGCCUGGGUACCAGAGCGCUGAUCCUGGAUUUAGUGGAAACCCAACUCCUGCAGCACAUCAUCCUACCAUGGACAAAGCGGGCCUGACUACCUGACUCAUGCUCAGAGGUGUUUGGAGGAUUCAGUACCACUGCAACAUGAAUACUUCCCCAUCCCACUCCAGUCUCCUGCCACAUAGGUGCUCAACACAUGGAUUGACUCUUGGGGUAU